rnacentral:rRNA from 2 species
AGCACCGGCUAACUCCGUGCCAGCAGCCGCGGUAAUACGGAGGGUGCAAGCGUUAAUCAGAAUUACUGGGCGUAAAGAGCGCGUAGGCGGAAUUUUAAGUUAGAUGUGAAAUCCCUGGGCUUAACCUAGGAACUGCAUUUAAAACUAAAAAUCUAGAGUAUCGUAGAGGGAGGUAGAAUUCCAGGUGUAGCGGUGAAAUGCGUAGAUAUCUGGAGGAAUACCUGUGGCGAAAGCGACCUCCUGGACGAAUACUGACGCUGAGGUGCGAAAGCAUGGGUAGCAAACAGGAUUAGAUACCCUGGUAGUCCAUGCCGUAAACGAUGUCGACUUGGAGGUUGUUUCCUUGAGAAAUGACUUCCGACGCUAACGCAUUAAGUCGACCGCCUGGGAAGUACGGUCGCAAGGCUAAAACUCAAAUGAAUUGACGGGGGCCCGCACAAGCGGUGGAGCA